UCAAAAGUUGAUUGGUCUCGUUUUGUUUUGUUUUUUUUCUCAUUCUCUUUGCUUGUUUCUCUCUAUCUCUUUGGACGAAACCAGGAAAGCAUGAAUGAUUUUUCAAAAUCGAGUAGAACAACCCAAUCAAUUUUUCUUUUGAUGAGUCUCUUUUUUUUUUACUCUCACAAAAUUUGAUUCUUUUAUUCUCAGAUUUUGAUUUUCCCAUUACAAGAUCCGACCUUUUUUGUUUCUUUUGUUCUGAUUCAAUUGAAACAAAUCUGAUUUUGUUGAGGUUGUUGUGUUCAUAGGUACGUGAAGAGAAUCUAUGGUUAUCUUAUGACCGUGAAGAUCAAAGGGCUUUACCAACGCGUAUGGAUUCCACAUAUGCUAGUGAUUCGGUUAUGAUGAGAUUGGAUUCCAAUUUCAAGAUGGUACCAGCGAGCCAGAUUUAUCACUAACAAAAUUGUUGGAGGAGGUGUUUAAUAACCAGAGCUAGAGCUAUAAAAUCACUUGCAGUGGGAGAAUUGGAGGCUAGGAAUCUCAAGUAUUGAAGCACUGGGACUGAAGCCAUUCUCAUGGGUAUCUUAGUCGAAGAGAACGGUGGUAAGAGGGAUCGUGGGGAGAAGUAGUGGCAUAGGAGCAGCAGAGAUACGAAGAGCAACCGUUUUUGCAUACCAGGAUACAGAGAAUUGAUCUUUGACCGAUCAUUUGUCUUCUUAUGGAAGAGGAUGUGAGCGCUUUGGACGAAGAUAUAUCAACUUUAUCCAUGGAGAUGGACUCAAUGAUAUUGUUAUUACAUGUGCGAUUGAUUCAUGAUCAUGAUUUUUUUUUUUGUGGGUGGUCUUGCACAUAUUGUUAUUUAUUAGUGUCUUCUGCUCUUUUCGUAUCUUUUGCUCUUUUUCAUUUUCAUCUAUGGUGUAAGCUUUAUAGUUCUUACUUUCAUCUUGUUUUUGGACCAAAUUUGGCUCUUUAACAAACGAUUGUGUUAUUUUGUGUGUAUUGGUUUAGUUUAUAUCA